CCACCACAUUUCUCUAACUUUAUCUUUGCACUUCCUAGCAAAAAUAUGAACUCAAUAUAUUUAAUUACAUACAUAUAUGGGCAGCAGUUCAAUCAAUUAAUCGUUACUCAAAUUUAUAUUUUCAUCCUAUCAUGAAACCAUCUUCAAUUAACUCACAUCUUAAUACAUUUUUACCAAAAUUACUUACAUCCAUUGCUUACGAAAUUCCUUAGAUUAUAUCACCGGUAACUUAUUUAUGAUGUCACGUUUAGAUUAUAUCACCGGCAACUUAUUUAUGAUGUCACGUUUAGAUUAUAUCACCGGUAACUUAUUUAUGAUGUCACGUGCCUACUUCAACCUUUCUAAAUAAUUUUCACCCAAAUCCAUCUUAUAUUUCCACACAUAAUCCACAUAUAUGGUAGCAACAAUUAUUCUCACUUUCACUCGAUUAUUUCCUAGUUUACACGCAUCGUUAUUUAUCUAACUUUCAAUACUUUGUUUUUCAAUCCUCCAUCCACAAUAUUCCUUUUUUAUUUCUUUCAAACAACAUGCCAUACAAUCUUAACAAUUUUCAACUAGCUUAGGCAAAUAAAUCCUUUCAACAACCAUAAUUCCUCACAAUAUUCAACUAACCGUAGGCUUUAAAACAUAGUGUUAAGCUUACUGUUUUCCUUUUCCACUUUGAGUCCUUCAUGUACCCAUGGGUUUAUUGGCUUACAUGUUACCAAUUUUUCUCCAAUCAAGCCAAUCUUUGCUGCCACAAGACAUUUCUUUAAGUCACUAACUCAUUUUCAAAGACUACUCAAGCCAAAAACAAGAAUUCUUACUGUUCCUUGCUUGAAUCACCAAAACAAAGCUUUUUCUUUCUUGUCCUCAAGGGAUUUAGUGUGCUGGAAAUUGGGGUUAAAGGCUGUAAAUUUAAUGCUCAAGAAGUUUGGAGAAGAAAGGAAAAGAAAACAUGGAAAGGAAAGUGAAAAAAACUUGAUUUCAUGGUGGAUAAAGAGAAAAUGGCAUGGAAGCUUCAAGAAUGGCAUGGAGCAUGGAUGAAGAAGAAG
rnacentral:lncRNA from 1 species